UACAGAGGUCCCAAGCGUUGUUCGGAUUCACUGGGCGUAAAGGGUGCGUAGGUGGCCAGGUAAGUUUGGUGUGAAAGCUCGGAGCUUAACUCCGAAAAGUCAUUGAAUACUAUCUGGCUGGAGGAUCGGAGGGGGGACUGGAAUUCUUGGUGUAGCAGUGAAAUGCGUAGAUAUCAAGAGGAACACCAGUGGCGAAGGCGAGUCCCUGGACGAUACCUGACACUGAGGCACGAAAGCUAGGGGAGCAAACGGG
rnacentral:rRNA from 1 species